CCUACGGGAGGCAGCAGUGGGGAAUAUUGGACAAUGGGGGGAACCCUGAUCCAGCCAUGCCGCGUGUGUGAAGAAGGCCCUCGGGUUGUAAAGCACUUUCAGUGAGGAAGAACGCCUGGUGGUUAAUACCCAUCAGGAAAGACAUCACUCACAGAAGAAGCACCGGCUAACUCCGUGCCAGCAGCCGCGGUAAUACGGAGGGUGCGAGCGUUAAUCGGAAUUACUGGGCGUAAAGCGCGCGUAGGUGGCUUGAUAAGCCGGUUGUGAAAGCCCCGGGCUCAACCUGGGAACGGCAUCCGGAACUGUCAAGCUAGAGUGCAGGUGAGGAAGGUAGAAUUCCCGGUGUAGCGGUGAAAUGCGUAGAGAUCGGGAGGAAUAUCAGUGGCGAAGGCGGCCUUCUGGACUGACACUGACACUGAGGUGCGAAAGCGUGGGUAGCAAACAGGAUUAGAUACCCGUGUAGUC
rnacentral:rRNA from 1 species